AUACGUAGGGGGCGAGCGUUGUCCGGAAUGAUUGGGCGUAAAGGGCGCGUAGGCGGCCCGGUAAGUCUGGAGUGAAAGUCCUGUUUUUAAGAUGGGAAUUGCUUUGGAUACUGUCGGGCUUGAGUGCAGGAGAGGUAAGUGGAAUUCCCAGUGUAGCGGUGAAAUGCGUAGAGAUUGGGAGGAACACCAGUGGCGAAGGCGGGUAACUGGACUGCAACUGACGCUGAGGCGCGAAAGUGUGGGGAGCAAACAGGAUUAGAUACCCUGGUAGUCCACACUGUAAACGAUGAAUGCUAGGUGUAGGGGGUAUCGACCCCUUCUGUGCCGCAGUCAACACAAUAAGCAUUCCGCCUGGGGAGUACGGCCGCAAGGUUGAAACUCAAAUGAAUUGGCGGGG
rnacentral:rRNA from 1 species